CUUCCUGUAAGCACCAAAGUUCCUCUCUGUUUUUUUUUCCCUAGUUCCUCUUAGUAGCAAGAGUUGGACUGACCCUAAACGUGGUGGCUUUAUGCCUUGGAAGGUUGUAUUAAUAUUUCCUCUUAUGCCUCAGGCCUUGCGCACAAAUUAUUGUUUUCUUCUUCAUCUGCUGCUUUACUGAGUUCAGAUCUGCACAACUGGAAGGAAGAGGCUAGUGACCCAGCUGGAAGUGGAGAGGGAGUGAGGGAAUGAGUGAGGGAGUGAGUGAGUGAGUGAGUGAGUGAGUGAGUGAGUGAGUGAGUGAGUGGGACUGAGUGCAAUAAACCCACAGUUCUCGUGCUUCUCACAAUCCCUCCCACUCUUGCAGUGACACAAGCACAGGGAAGAAGACUGUGAGUGGUACAGAGUGGUACAGAAGGUCACAAUGUGCUGUCAGUCACCACCAUCCCAGGAGCAAGAAGGACCCUUUGAGGGCAGCCUUGCUGAUCCCAACAGCUGAAGAGAAGGUACUAAAAAAGGAAUUUGUGACCUGAUAAAGCAGGCACUGUUGAGAGGAACUCCAGGUCUCCAGGCAUCGAACUUCAGAUCCUUCUGAUCUCUGUGUCAAAACUUUUGCUAACAUCAAGGAAUCCCAGGUGCCCUUGCUGGAACCUACUGAAUGUACUACAAAUCUCUCUUUGGAGGAAUUAUUCCCUGUACUUCUUGUCCAGAUGGUCCACCUGUAUCCCUUGUCCUGCCUGACGUGACAUGGAACUAUUUCCUAUGGAGAACUAGCUAAGUUGCAUGCCUGACAUUGCUAAAGAAAGACCUGUGAUAAAGGUGUUGAAAAGAACUACAUGAGAAACAGUGGAGAUCUAUAAGUUUGCUUUCCAGGCCUCAAGGGAGUCUGUGAUGAGAAAGAACUGUGCUGAUUCUCACCUACUGAGGCAGUGAUAACAAAGGAUCCAGGUGGGAACAAAUCCUUUUCCUUCAUGAUAUUCACAGUGCAUCCCUCAUAACCCACAGUGCAUGUCUCUCGGGCAAGCUUAGGAGAAAGUAAGAGUUAAAGAAUCUUACUGGAACAUAUAGCCCAAUUUGCUGCAUUCACAGACAGUUAUUUCUGUAAUCCCUUUAAAAACAUGAUCAAGCUCCACAUUUGACUGGUUAAAAAUUGUGAUAAGAGCAACUUCUGGGAUGCUUUCAGUUUCUGGCUCCUUUUUGAGUUACAUAUAUUUUUCAUAUUUACAAUCUAAAUAUAUUCACUGUCAAUUAUUUCUGCUCUUCCUCCCUCUCCCCUUGCCUUGUGGUUUAUGCAAAACAGAGCUCUUGAGUUGUUCACUGACAAUUUCCUGUAAUCUUUCCAUUUUUCACUGUUACUGCUAACUAUGUAACUGCAAGGAGAAUUAUUACUUAUGUGAGGAAGCUCUGUUAAUAAAUUGGGUUUUAAAAGUUCUGAGUACUUCCCAGAGGAAUAGAAAAACUGCUUAGGUAAAGGGAAACAUUCCCAGUGCUGUACUUACACUAUUAGAGCUGCAGUUGUUUGUGGUCAUGCUACACCUCAGCUCAAUCUGUGCUCCUAAGGAGUGUGAUUUAGAAGCUAACAAGGUUGUUGCCAUGGUACUGGUGUUGGCACGCUGGCAUUUUUCGGAGGUAGUGGUGAAGUUAUUUCAAGGCAGAGCUGCUAGUGGCUGGAAGUCACUAGGUCAUUCUGUGGAAAGCACUGAACUUCCCAGUGUCACCCAGAAGGAAUAUAGUUAUUCUAGUCUGAGCCUGACCCUUGGCAUGAGCCAAGGCAAUGUAUGUGAAGGCAAUUGGUAAAUUCUCUUCGGAAACACACUCUCCAUGUGGAAGAUUGAUAGGGAUGUUCCUAAGACUGGAACUCCUGUGCUGCAGUUUUGAGGUGAUGGCACUGUAUAUCUGCAAGAGAAACACCCAGGUGUGCAAGGAUUAAAUAUAGUAAGUCUAGGGUAUUUCAUAUUAGCAUUUCUUUCAGCAUAAAUGGAACUGUGAAACUGUGCCUGCUGGUUUCUCCCUUAGCCUUGAAUUUGUAUUUGAUAUUUUUAAUGGGACUAUUGAUAAAAUUAAUUUCUGCAAGUUUUACCUUACUCAUUUUGAUUUUAGUUGGUUUUUUGUUUGUUUGGUUUUUUUUGUUUGUUUGUUUUGGUUUUUUUUUGGGCAGGGUGGCAGUCCCCUUGGGCUGUGUUGUGACCUAUUGAGUUUAUAAUUGGAGGCAAACCAAAAUAGUACCACUAGAGAGUGUGGCAAUGAUCUCAUUAAAAAGUCAACAUUUGCUAAUAGAGGAAAACUGAUGUUGAAAAUGCCUUUAGGUGGAAAUUCUUAACAAGCUGGCUUCACUAUAAUGAUCACUUACAUACCUAUUAAGGUUGCAUUUCUUUAUGAGAAUUCAUUAAUUUAUUGUAGAAAUGCUGAAUAAAGAUGCCAUUUCUUUUCUAAUGUGUCAUUUAGAAGUAGGCUAAGAUGCCAUUAUCUCCCAUGGAAGCAGUAAAAUAAAGGGCUUAUGAGUUCUGAACUCUUUUUGAUACCACAAUUAGUACUGCUGCAGUUUAACCAUCAACAAAGAUGCUAUAAUUUGCUACUGAAACAGAAAAGUGAAGGGCUUGUAAGCCUGAACUUUUCUUCAUACCACAACUACUAUUGCUGCAGAUUAACUGUCUAAUACCUACUUUAGGUUAGUUAUUUGGCAUCCUGUUUUAAAUAAAUGACAAAAAAAAAUCAUUUAAAGCAGGGAAAAAUAAUCACCUAGGAAAUGAGAAGGUUUAAUGUAGACUUAGCGCA